rnacentral:rRNA from 1 species
GAACUUAAGCAUAUCAAUAAGGCGAGGAACAGAAACCAACUGGGAUUCCCCUAGUAGUGGCGAAUGAAGCGGGAAAAGCUCAAGUUUGAAAUCCGGCGGGUGACUUCCGGAGUUGUAAGCUGAUGAGGUAUCGACCGACGUGGUCCGGGCCCAAUUUCCUUGGAACAGGAGGUCACGGAGGGUGAGAACCCCGUCCGUGGCUCGGGUGCCAUCGUCCUUGUGUCGUGUCCUCUAAGAGUCGGGUUGUUUGGGAAUGCAGCUCAAAAUGGGUGGUAAAUUUCAUCUAAAGCUAAAUACUGGCGAGAGACCGAUAGCAAACAAGUAGAGUGAUCGAAAGAUGAAAAGUACUUUGAAAAGAGAGUGAAACAGUACGUGAAAUUGUUGAAAGGGAAGCGUUUGGCAUCAGCCCUUGGCGUCCGUCGAACAUCCAGGCUUCUGCCUGGUGCACUCGUCGGUCGUCGGGCCAGCGUCGGCUCUGCCUGUCGGAGAAAGGUCCGAGGGAUGUGGCUCACCUUCGAGCGUUAUAACCUCGGGCGUCAUGCGAUAUGGUGGGGCCGAGGUCUGCGGACUCUGUCCUAGGACGCUGGCGUAAUGGUUCCAAGCGACCCGUCUUGAAACACGGACCAAGGAGUCUAACAUCUAUGCGAGUGUUUGGGUGUCAAGCCCGUCCGCGCAAUGAAAGUGAAUGCAGGCGGGAGCCGUAAAAGGUGCACCGCCGACCGGUCCGGGGGUUUACCGAAGGAUCCGAGUAAGAGCAUAGCUGUUGGGACCCGAAA